rnacentral:lncRNA from 1 species
AUUUUGGACAUGGAUUUAUAUAUGGAAAGGGAUUUCAUUCUGGACGUGAAUUUCUCUGUAUGAACUUAACGAGGGGGAAGGACGUGAGGUCAGACUUAGGGGAUUUCUCUAUUGCCACUUAGGCUUCAGCAGCAUGUGCUGUUCGUGUCCCUUGCACUGUAACCCUCAGUCGAACCAGCUGGGACAGUGGGGCUGGUUAUAACUUAAGUGGGGAAAUAGAAGGGUGGGUCAUAUUUUGGCCUAAGUGUGUAGGACGGCGUUGGGUUACUCAAUUAACGUCCUGUUCUAACCUAUUCAGAGGCUUCUGGGGGCUGCUGCUCUCUAGCAGAUAUUGAUGGAGGAGCCUCAGCUAGCUAGGAACAAAACUGUAUUGAUGGGCUGCUGAUUGUCCCCCAUCCCCCAACGCAGGAGGCAGCCACUCUCCUGCUAGGCAGACCAGGAAGUCGAGAGAGAAGAAAAACCGGGUGACCAUAGCGAUAGAGGUGCUUCACUCCCGCUUCCCCCUUCCCACGUAAGACCUUCUUCUGACCACUGUCCUCCCAGCUCCUGCCAGAAGAUGGCUUUUCCAACCUGCUUGGUCAGAACCCAGGACAUCGACCGGGCCACGGUCACGGCCUUAGUGGACCCCAACUCAGUUAACAUCGGUCUUCCGGGUGGACUAUGCCUUCAACUGCUUCAGUUUCCUGACAGUCGUCCUGCCAAGAUCCCGCCACAGCCUCCCUCCGCCCUGUUACCUGCUGGUCCUUCCUGAACCACUUUC